rnacentral:rRNA from 1 species
GAUGAACGCUGGCGGCGUGCUUAACACAUGCAAGUCGAACGAUGAAGCCCAGCUUGCUGGGUGGAUUAGUGGCGAACGGGUGAGUAACACGUGAGUAACCUGCCCUUAACUCUGGGAUAAGCCUGGGAAACUGGGUCUAAUACCGGAUAGGAGCGUCCACCGCAUGGUGGGUGUUGGAAAGAUUUAUCGGUUUUGGAUGGACUCGCGGCCUAUCAGCUUGUUGGUGAGGUAAUGGCUCACCAAGGCGACGACGGGUAGCCGGCCUGAGAGGGUGACCGGCCACACUGGGACUGAGACACGGCCCAGACUCCUACGGGAGGCAGCAGUGGGGAAUAUUGCACAAUGGGCGAAAGCCUGAUGCAGAGACGCCGCGUGAGGGAUGACGGCCUUCGGGUUGUAAACAUAUUUCAGUAGGGAAGAAGCGAAAGUGACGGUACCUGCAGAAGAAGCACCGGCUAACUACGG